ACUCCUACGGGAGGCAGCAGUGGGGAAUAUUGCACAAUGGGCGCAAGCCUGAUGCAGCCAUGCCGCGUGUGUGAAGAAAGGCCUUCGGGUUGUAAAGCACUUUCAGUUGUGAGGAAGGUGGUGUCGUUAAUAGCGGCAUCAUUUGACGUUAGCAACAGAAGAAGCACCGGCUAACUCCGUGCCAGCAGCCGCGGUAAUACGGAGGGUGCGAGCGUUAAUCGGAAUUACUGGGCGUAAAGCGCAUGCAGGUGGUUUGUUAAGUCAGAUGUGAAAGCCCGGGGCUCAACCUCGGAACUGCAUUGAAACUGGCAGACUAGAGUACUGUAGAGGGGGUAGAAUUCAGGUGUAGCGGUGAAAUGCGUAGAGAUCUGAAGGAAUACCGGUGGCGAAGGCGGCCCCCUGGACAGAUACUGACACUCAGAUGCGAAAGCGUGGGGAGCAAACAGGAUUAGAUACCCUGUAGCAC
rnacentral:rRNA from 1 species